CCAUCUUAGGAGGAAAGCAUUCAGUCUUUCAUCAUUAUGCAUGAUUUUAGCUGUGAGUUUUUCACAGAUGUCCUUUAUCGAGUGAGGAAGGUCCCUCCAUUCCUAUUUUGUUGAAAGUUGUGAACAUGAAUGGUGUUAAGAUUUUUGUCAACUGUUUCUUCUGCAUCUAUUCAGAUAAUUAUAUUGCUCUGGUCCUUUGUUCUAUUAAUAUGGUGCAUUACAUUAAUUGAUUUCCAAAUGUUAAGCCAACCUUGUAUUCCUGGGAUGAAUUCCAUUGGUCAUGAAUUGUAAUCCUUUUUAUAUGUUUUUUUAUUUGUUUUGC